rnacentral:rRNA from 1 species
GCGUGCGAGCGAUACGGGCAGACUAGAGUACUGCAGGGGAGACUGGAAUUCCUGGUGUAGCGGUGGAAUGCGCAGAUAUCAGGAGGAACACCGGUGGCGAAGGCGGGUCUCUGGGCAGUAACUGACGCUGAGGAGCGAAAGCGUGGGGAGCGAACAGGAUUAGAUACCCUGGUAGUCCACGCCGUAAACGGUGGGUACUAGGUGUGGGUUUCCUUCCUUGGGAUCCGUGCCGUAGCUAACGCAUUAAGUACCCCGCCUGGGGAGUACAGCCGCAAGGCUAAAACUCAAAGGAAUUGACAGGGGCCCGCACAAGCGGCGGAGCAUGUGGAGUAAUUCGAUGCAACGCGAAGAACCUUACCUGGGUUUGACAUGCACAGGACGCGUCUAGAGAUAGGCGUUCCCUUGUGGCCUGUGUGCAGGUGGUUGCAUGGCUGUCGUCAGCUCGUGUCGUGAGAUGUUGGGUUAAGUCCCGCAACGAGCGCAACCCUUGUCUCAUGUUGCCAGCGGGUAAUGCCGGGGACUCGUGAGAAACUGCCGGGGUCAACUCGGAGGAAGGUGGGGAUGACGUCAAGUCAUCAUGCCCCUUAUGU